GAUCAGAAGAUGAGUAAUUUGUGUGGAGGAAGAGGAGGACAGAGCAGAGUCUCUAGUCUCCGGCUGUCUGUCUAUGAAGAGUGAUCGGUCCAAAAGUCUUAUUCUGAACUUCAGUAAUGAACCUGGACCCUCAGACACAAAAGUUCAGUACAGACAGAGAGCAGAGUCUCCAGUAUCCAGCUGUCUGUCUAUGAAGAGUGAUUGGUCCAAAGGUUUUCUUCCUCCAGACUUCAGUAAUGAACCUGGACCCUCAGACACAAAAGAGAAGAAGAGGAGUCAUGUUUCUGAGGAGGAGCUGCUGUCCAGAUCCAGAACAAGAGCUGGACUGCAGACAGCCAGUCAGACCAGCUCUGUACAAAGUAAGACUGUCCAUUUCUCUGUGAUGUCUUCAGGUCUGGAAACAGGACUUGUUGUUUUAAUACAGGGACACUUGUUGGAUGACAAUGAUGUAAACACACAAAGGUAAAAGGUAUCAUUUAUUCAUGCUAAACCUGCUGAAUUAAACACAUUUUAAUAAAAGGUUUUAGUAUUUUUACAUUCUCAGGGACUUCAAGAAUAAAGAGAUCAAGUUAAAUUAGCUAUAUUUAACAUUCAGAUUAUAUAUUAAUCAAUAAAUAUCUCAUCAACAGAUAUCAUCUCUGUAAAGAUAUAGA